rnacentral:misc_RNA from 1 species
GUCCUGGAGCCUAGGCACAAGGCGCAAGGCGCAGGCGCAUGCCCGAGCGAGGAAAGGUGCAAAAAUUAAAAAGAAAAUUAUUAAAAAAUAAAAAAAUUAUAAAUAUUCUAUCACACUUCAAGUAACAUAAAACUACACAACGCAACAUACAAAUCAAUUUAUAAUACCAUAAUCCAAUUAUAAUAAUAGAAAUUAAUAAUUUAUGAUAACAUAAACUUUUGCUAUAUUUCUAAUAAUUUAUACUAAGACCUAAUAGCAAUUAGCAAUAAGAAAAUAAAGUCAUAAAACAUUUUUAAUCCAAUAAUAAAACUAAAAGCUAAUAAGAGUAAUAGGCAUAAUAGCAUCUCCAAGUCUCAACAUAUAUUCACAUAUUCAUAAUAAAUAAAAUACCAAAAUCAUAAAUUUAGAUUUUUUUUAAAAAAGCAGAGGUUAAGGAGAGAGCAUAGCAAAGAAAGGGAGAAAAAAUGAUAGCUGCUGGCCUUGGAUAAAACACAGCUAGAGAGAGAGAGAGAGAGGGAGGGGGCGCAUAAGAGAGCAUGACAGCUCAAAAAAAAAAGAAACUGCAGCGCUAUGGACGAAAUAGAGAAAGAGAAUGGAGGAGAGAGAGUGAAGAAGAAAAAGAAAGAAGAAGAAAAGAAGAAAAAAGAGGCUGAUACAGCAGCGAAGAAAAGGCAAAGGGAAGAAAAAGAAGAAAGGAAGGAGAGAGAAAGAAAAAGAAAGCGUGUUGAGGAAGCAAAGAGACACCAGCUAGUGCACGAGAAAAAGUUGCAUGUUGAUAAAGAACAAAAAGAAGUAAAUUUCCAAGCUCCAGAUGGAAGAGCAAACGGGAGGAAGGAAUCUAAGUACAGAUUAGGAAAGCAUGAGAAGUUUGAAAAAGCAGAGGAAGGCCACAAUCUUCAGACAAUGCCUGACACUGAACCUACAACUACCAAGGUUUCAACAAUUGACACCAUAAAUGCAAGCAUCAUUCCUGAAGAUUCCGAGGCUUUGAGUAAUUGUGGAGAUAACUCAAAGGUAUAAGCUCAUUAGCAUCAUUUUUGUUUUGUAUCAAUCAUACUGUCCGUUAAUUUUGUUUUGGCUAAAAUUAUUUCAAAGUUAUAAAUAAAUCCUUGUGCAACUUGGGCGACAAACAAAUCCGUUUGCUCCCUUGGUAUCUGGAAAGAGAAGUGCUUGGUGUUCUUUUGAUUUCAAGACCCUAUGUCGUCCACUUCUAUUUAAUGUUGUCAUAGACAAGGAGUCUUUAAGUGGUGAGUCCUCUGAACUUGCACUUGCAAAAACUACUUCUCUUGACUUUUUUUCACUCUAAGGGGAAGAAAGUUCGUAGUUUUAGAAUGGAACAUUUGCAUAACCACAGUUUGCAUGGAAUUUUUGGCCAUAAUUGGAAGAGGUCUCUUUCUUAUUCACCAUCUAAUAGUUUGUUAUCUUAUGAAUUCCAUAUGUUCUCUUUAUAUCUUUGCAUGUAUAUGCUAAUUCCCAGGCUGCCUUAAAUAUUUAGGUAAUAGGCUACUUUUGC